GUGGGGAAUCUUGCGCAAUGGGCGAAAGCCUGACGCAGCCAUGCCGCGUGAAUGAUGAAGGUCUUAGGAUUGUAAAAUUCUUUCACCGGGGACGAUAAUGACUGUAGCCGGAGAAGAAGCCCCGGCUAACUUCGUGCCAGCAGCCGCGGUAAUACGAAGGGGGCUAGCGUUGCUCGGAUUUACUGGGCGUAAAGGGCGCGUAGGCGGACAUUUAAGUCAGGGGUGAAAUCCCGGGGCUCAACCUCGGAACUGCCUUUGAUACUGGGUGUCUUGAGUAUGAGAGAGGUGUGUGGAACUCCGAGUGUAGAGGUGAAAUUCGUAGAUAUUCGGAAGAACACCAGUGGCGAAGGCGACACACUGGCUCAUUACUGACGCUGAGGCGCGAAAGCGUGGGGAGCAAACAGGAUUAGAUACACUUGUAGUCC
rnacentral:rRNA from 1 species